rnacentral:rRNA from 1 species
GAUGAACGCUGGCGGCGUGCCUAAUACAUGCAAGUCGAGCGAACAGACGAGGAGCUUGCUCCUCUGACGUUAGCGGCGGACGGGUGAGUAACACGUGGAUAACCUACCUAUAAGACUGGGAUAACUUCGGGAAACCGGAGCUAAUACCGGAUAAUAUAUUGAACCGCAUGGUUCAAUAGUGAAAGACGGUUUUGCUGUCACUUAUAGAUGGAUCCGCGCCGCAUUAGCUAGUUGGUAGGUAACGGCUUACCAAGGCGACGAUGCGUAGCCGACCUGAGAGGGGGAGAGGCCACACGGGAAAGGAGACACGGUCAAGACUCAGACGGGAGGCAGAAGUAGGGAAUCUUCAGAAAGGGGCGAAAGCCUGAAGGAGAAACGCCGCGGGAGGGAGGAAGGUCUUCGGAUAGAAAAACUUUGUUAUUAGGGAAAAAAAAAGGGGUAAGAAAAUAUGCACGUCUUGACGGUACCUAAUAAGAAAGCCACGGAUAACUACGGG